rnacentral:piRNA from 1 species
AGGACAUCAUCUCUCCAAGUCAGGU